rnacentral:rRNA from 1 species
GUAAAUUACCCAAUCCUGACACAGGGAGGUAGUGACAAGAAAUAUCAAUAUAAGACUUUUGUGUCUUGUAAUUGGGAUGAGCGGAACUUAAAUCGCUUCUCGAGUAUCAAUUGGAGGGCAAGUCUGGUGCCAGCAGCCGCGGUAAUUCCAGCUCCAAUAGCGUAUAUUAAAAUUGUUGCGGUUAAAACGCUCGUAGUUGGAUAUCUGUGAGCGGGUUUCGGUCCUUCCCGGUGAAGAUUACACGGAACUCUGCUCGCAUUCGUUCAGGGAGGGUGGAUGCACUUCACUGUGUGACCACAUGAUCUGAAUUUUUACUUUGAGGAAAUGAGAGUGUUCCAAGCAGGCAAUCGCCGUGAAUAUGAUAGCAUGGAAUAAUAGCACAGGACUCUUGGUUCAAUGCUGUUGGUUUGUUGGACUAGAGUAAUCACAAUAAGGAUGGUUGGGGGUAUUCGUAUUUAACUGUCAGAGGUGAAAUUCUUGGAUUUUUUAAAGACGAACAAUUGCGAAGGCAUCUACCCAGGAUGUUUUUGUUGAUCAAGAACGAAAGUUAGGGGAUCGAAGACGAUCAGAUACCGUCCUAGUCUUAACCUUAAACUAUGCCGGCUGGAGAUUGGAGUCGUCAG